AUGACUCACCCGGCGGAGGAGCAGACGCGGCGCAUGCCCCCCGGCGACCUCGCCGGGACGCAUGAGAGGCCUCGGGACCUCGAACUCGCCGCUCGGCAGCUGGACCAAACCAGGCGGGAGCAGAUGCUUUCCAUGGCGAAGAAGUUCGCCGCCAUCAAGGCCCAAGCCGUCGACGCUCAGACCUCGCGCGCCGUCACCGGCGCCAAGACGGUGAAGCGGGAGAGGAAGGGCUUGAUCACUGCCAUUGUCAUGCUCAUCUUGGCCUUGAUCCUCCUGCGGCUUGGGUUCGGUGUCAGAUCCACGUUAAGGGUGUGUAGCCAGUUGGAUAGAUGGUUUUCGGCCAAAACCAACAAAAACAAGUAA
rnacentral:rRNA from 1 species